rnacentral:sRNA from 1 species
GCCAGGCAUGGUGGCGCAUGACUGUAAUCCCAGCUACUCAGGAGGCUGAGGCAGGAGAAUCACUUGAACCCAGGAGGUGGAGAUUGCAUUGAGCUGAGAUCGUGCCACUGCACUCUAGCCUGGGUGACAGAGCGAGACUCUGACUCAAACAAAAAAAAGUGGCCGAGCUCAGCGGCUCAAGCCUGUAAUCCCAGCACUUUAGAAGGCUGAGGUGGGUGGAUCACCUGAGGUCAGGAGUUCGAGACCAGCCUGGCUAACAUGGUGAAAGCCUGUCUCU